AAUUCACCAUAGCCAUCACUCAAUUCUUCAGUGAUGUAUCUCCAAGCUUGGUAUGGAGCUGUGAACCAGUGAAUCCAUUUCGGUCAAACAACAGUCUCUGAAGUCAAGCAGGUAUGAGCCUGUCGCUGCUUCAACUCACUAGCGGCUCGAAUCAUGUUUCAAGAUUUGCGAUGAAAUCUUCGGACUCAGCUUUAUUUGGUCGAACCUGGUGUCUACAAGGUUGCUUGAUCCUUUUCUUGCUCACUUGAAGACAUCACAAGAUUCAGUUGCUAAGACCAAAUACAAUGGUUUCGAUUUGUGAGCAAUCCGGAUGUCCUAGAACGUGUUUACACUACAAACUGAGAUAAUGCAUAUCAAGGAAAAAAUUGGUAUCUAGAACAAUUGUGUAGCGGCUGUAAAUGUUUCAGUUGGAUGAUGAUCAACAACCAAAAAGUUCAGAGAGUACAUAAGCUUGCUCAAUAAAAAGGAAAAUGAAGUUGCAAGUGUUGUAAAUACAUUUCUGGUGGUAUAUUCAAGGUGGUCUAGAGCUUGUACAAGAGCAUUAGGGUUGGUAAAGGUUUGUCAAGGAAGGAAAGGCACAACAUCUUGCUUUACAAGACUCACUUGAGGCAGUAAGUUAUAGAGAGACUAAUCUCAGCUUCAGUUUCCUUUUAAUUCGACUUUUUGGAUUGAGCCUAAUCUGAUCUUGGAUUAUGCACUUUGUUGCAACAUAUUGACCCUAGACAUCGGUAUGGACACAACCUCCAUUUUUACUACAAGUUGCUCCACUGUCAGAGUUGAGACCCGUACUUCUACUGGAAAGCUUAUGAGGGUGUUGUGGAAGACGGAAAAUUGUUCUACAAGAACAGUGGAGAAAUGCUUCAAACUUCUACUAUGGACAAUAAUGAUUCCAAAUGGAUCAUGGUGCUCAGAUGUUAUACGUUGGGAAGAAGGGUACUUUCAACAUUCAAGCUUUUUAGCUGGAGAAGCUACUGUUUCUGCAUGGAGAUUUGUUGUUGAGAAUGGUGUUCUUAGGGCUGUUUGGCCAUGGUCCGUGCUUGAUUGCAACUUUUUAAUUUUUAGUAUAGUAGAUUUUAUAAUU